GUGCACAGAGAGGUUGGAUGAAUGUCGAUGUUGAUAAAAUUGAAUGUGAAUCUUGUGGUGCCAGUUUGAGUUUUGAAUUACUACAGUCGUGGACUUCUGCAGAAGUUCAACUUGCUGAGUUUACGAAGCAGCUGGAUUCUGGGCACAAAGUCUCUUGUCCUUGGAGAGGAAAUAGCUGCCCUGAAAGUUUGGUGCAGUUCCCUCCAACACCCCAGUCUGCUCUAGUUGGAGGAUUUAAGGACAGAUGUGAUGGGCUUCUGC
rnacentral:misc_RNA from 1 species